rnacentral:misc_RNA from 1 species
AACGCACAUUGCGCCCUUUGGUAUUCCGAAGGGCAUGCCUGUUCGAGCGUCAUUAUCAACCAUCAAGCCUGGCUUGUCGUUGGACCCCCUUGUCGUCGAGAGCCGACAGGUCCGAAAGAUAAUGACGGUGUCGUGUUUGACCCUAGAUGCAACGAGCUUUUACAGCACGCAUCGAAGUGGUUGGCCGGCCCGGUCCUUCAAACCCCCCAUUUAAUAAGGUUGACCUCGGAUCAGGUAGGAAUACCCGCUGAACUUAA